UACGGAAGGGGCAAGCGUUGUUCGGAAUCAUUGGGCGUAAAGAGCUCGUAGGCGGCUUAGUAAGUCGGGUGUGAAAACCCCAGGCUCAACCUGGGGACGCCACCCGAUACUGCUAUAGCUAGAGUCCAGUAGGGGAGUGUGGAAUUCCCAGUGUAGCGGUGAAAUGCGCAGAUAUUGGGAGGAACACCAGCGGCGAAGGCGGCACUCUGGGCUGGUACUGACGCUGAGGAGCGAAAGCGUGGGUAGCGAACAGG
rnacentral:rRNA from 1 species